GACGAACGCUGGCGGCGUGCUUAACACAUGCAAGUCGAACGGAAAGGCCCUGCUUUUGUGGGGUGCUCGAGUGGCGAACGGGUGAGUAACACGUGAGUAACCUGCCCUUGACUUUGGGAUAACUUCAGGAAACUGGGGCUAAUACCGGAUAGGAGCUCCUGCUGCAUGGUGGGGGUUGGAAAGUUUCGGCGGUUGGGGAUGGACUCGCGGCUUAUCAGCUUGUUGGUGGGGUAGUGGCUUACCAAGGCUUUGACGGGUAGCCGGCCUGAGAGGGUGACCGGCCACAUUGGGACUGAGGUACGGCCCAGACUCCUACGGGAGGCAGCAGUGGGGAAUAUUGCACAAUGGGCGGGAGCCUGAUGCAGCAAUUCCGGGUGCGGGAUGACGGCCUUCGGGUUGUAAACCGCUUUCGCCUGUGACGAAGCGUGAGUGACGGUAAUGGGUAAAGAAGCACCGGCUAACUACGUG
rnacentral:rRNA from 1 species